UCUGUCGAAUUGAGAGGUUCUCAGUUCACUACAUUAUUACUUCAGUACUGUUAAUCAUCUAUUUACAGCUUGAAACCAUGAAAUUCAUUUCUUAUUAUUUUAUCUUGUUCUUCUUGAGCAUCCUGAUCUAUCCAUCUUUUCAGACUGCUUGCUCCGCCCAAAAACCUUGUCUAAAAAAUUCUGAUUUGUGUGUUGGAGGACAAUGCGUUAAUGACGGAGACCUUGCAAAAUGAACGUCAGUGAAUCUGGAGGAUGAUUCUAUAAUUUGAAUUACCCGAACUAAUCGUUUACUUUUAUUGUCACUGUUAUACGAAAUUGUGAGCUGAAAAAUAGAUCCUGUGAUGUAAAAUGAAUAAAGAAGCAUUUAUUAAUAAUAUCUAAA